CCCUUAGAUGUUCUGGGCUGCACGCGUGCUACACUGAUUAUUUCAACAAGUGUUUUAACUGGAGAGUUUGCGUAAUCCUGAAAUGUUAUCGUGAUGGGAGUAGAGUAUUGUAUUUGUUAAUCUUUAACGAGGAAUUCCUAGUAAGUGUAGGUUUAUAAGUUGUUCUGAUUACGUCCCUGCCCUUUGUACACACCGCCCGUCGCUCCUACCGAUUGAUUGAUCCGUGAAUUACAUAGAAUUUUGCGUUUUACAUGACGGAAGAUGAAGUGUUUUAAAUCUUAUCAUUUAGAGGAAGGAGAAGUCGUAACA
rnacentral:rRNA from 1 species